rnacentral:tRNA from 1 species
GGUUAGGGCUCAGUGGCAGAGCACUCACCUAGCAUGUGUGAGGCACUGGGUUCGAUUCUCAGCACCA